rnacentral:ribozyme from 1 species
UGCCCAGCAACUCCUAUCCCUACCUAAUCGUGGUACCGGCCGGAAACUAUGAGCAACCUUAGGGAAGAUCGGGUAACCAACCCCGGUCGGAGCUUUGCUCGUAGGCUGACAGGGAAGG